GGGUGCUCGAGUGGCGAACGGGUGAGUAACACGUGAGUAACCUGCCCUUGACUUUGGGAUAACUUCAGGAAACUGGGGCUAAUACCGGAUAGGAGCUCCUGCUGCAUGGUGGGGGUUGGAAAGUUUCGGCGGUUGGGGAUGGACUCGCGGCUUAUCAGCUUGUUGGUGGGGUAGUGGCUUACCAAGGCUUUGACGGGUAGCCGGCCUGAGAGGGUGACCGGCCACAUUGGGACUGAGAUACGGACCAG
rnacentral:rRNA from 1 species